rnacentral:rRNA from 1 species
GUGCCAGCAGCCGCGGUAAUACGUAGGUGGCAAGCGUUGUCCGGAUUUAUUGGGCGUAAAGCGAGCGCAGGCGGUUUCUUAAGUCUGAUGUGAAAGCCCCCGGCUUAACCGGGGAGGGUCAUUGGAAACUGGGAAACUUGAGUGCAGAAGAGGAGAGUGGAAUUCCAUGUGUAGCGGUGAAAUGCGUAGAUAUAUGGAGGAACACCAGUGGCGAAGGCGGCUCUCUGGUCUGUAACUGACGCUGAGGCUCGAAAGCGUGGGGAGCAAACAGGAUUAGAUACCCUGGUAGUCC